AACGAACGCUGGCGGCAUGCCUAACACAUGCAAGUCGAACGAGACCUUCGUGAGUGGUUGCGCUCGCGUGCGUAACGCGGGGGAAGCUUCCGGUAUGCUCGGGAUAACUCUCCGAAAGGGGUGCUAAUGCCGGGUAAUUUCCGCUAACCAAAGAUUGAUCGACUUUGUAUGGGCGCGCGUUGUUUUGGCCUGUUGGUAGUGUAAGAGCCUACCACGGGUACGAUCCAUAGCUGGGAUGAGAGGAUGCGCCGCGACACUGGGACUAGGACACGGUCCAGAAUACUACGGGAGGCAGGAGUGGGGAAUAUUGGAAAAUGGGGGAAAGCAUGAACCAGCAAGGCCGCGUGAGUGAUGAAGGUCGUAGGGUUGUAAAGCUCUUUUACACGGGAUGAUAAUGACAGUACCGGGAGAAUAAGCACCGGCUAACUUCGUG
rnacentral:rRNA from 1 species